UCCCUGGUGGUCCGGUGAUUAAGAAUCCUGCUUGCAAUGCAGGCGACACAGGUUCCAUCCCUGUUUGGGGAA
rnacentral:tRNA from 1 species